rnacentral:rRNA from 1 species
CCUACGGGUGGCAGCAGUAGGGAAUAUUGCUCAAUGGGGGAAACCCUGAAGCAGCAACGCCGCGUGGGUGAUGAAGGUUUUCGGUUUGUAAACUCCUUUCGUUAGAGAAGAUAAUGACGGUAUCUGACUAAUAAGCCCCGGCUAACUCCGUGCCAGCCGCCGCGGUAAUACGUAGGGUGCAAGCGUUACACGGAUUUACUGGGCGUAAAGGGCGCGUAGACGGGAUAGCAAGUCAGAUGUGAAAUUCCAUGGCUGAACCCUGGAACUGCAUUUGAAACUGUAAUUCUAGAGUGUCGGAGAGGCAGGUGGAAUUCCUGGUGUAGGGGUAAAAUGCGUAGAUAUCAGGAGGAAUACGAGUGGCGAAGGCGACCUGCUAGAAGAUGACUGACGUUGAGGCGCGAAAGCGUGGGGAGCAAACAGGAUUAGAUACCCCGGUAGUC